rnacentral:rRNA from 1 species
GGGUUGUGAGGUUAAGCGACUAAGCGUACACGGUGGAUGCCCUGGCAGUCAGAGGCGAUGAAGGACGUGCUAAUCUGCGAUAAGCGUCGGUAAGGUGAUAUGAACCGUUAUAACCGGCGAUUUCCGAAUGGGGAAACCCAGUGUGUUUCGACACACUAUCAUUAACUGAAUCCAUAGGUUAAUGAGGCGAACCGGGGGAACUGAAACAUCUAAGUACCCUGAGGAAAAGAAAUCAACCGAGAUUCCCCCAGUAGCGGCGAGCGAACGGGGAGCAGCCCAGAGCCUGAAUCAGUAUGUGUGUUAGUGGAAGCGUCUGGAAAGGCGCGCGAUACAGGGUGACAGCCCCGUACACAAAAAUGCACAUGCUGUGAGCUCGAUGAGUAGGGCGGGACACGUGGUAUCCUGUCUGAAUAUGGGGGGACCAUCCUCCAAGGCUAAAUACUCCUGACUGACCGAUAGUGAACCAGUACCGUGAGGGAAAGGCGAAAAGAACCCCGGCGAGGGGAGUGAAAAAGAACCUGAAACCGUGUACGUACAAGCAGUGGGAGCACAGAGCAAUCUGUGUGACUGCGUACCUUUUGUAUAAUGGGUCAGCGACUUAUAUUCUGUAGCAAGGUUAACCGAAUAGGGGAGCCGAAGGGAAACCGAGUCUUAACUGGGCGUUAAGUUGCAGGGUAUAGACCCGAAACCCGGUGAUCUAGCCAUGGGCAGGUUGAAGGUUGGGUAACACUAACUGGAGGACCGAACCGACUAAUGUUGAAAAAUUAGCGGAUGACUUGUGGCUGGGGGUGAAAGGCCAAUCAAACCGGGAGAUAGCUGGUUCUCCCCGAAAGCUAUUUAGGUAGCGCCUCGUGAAUUCAUCUCCGGGGGUAGAGCACUGUUUCGGCAAGGGGGUCAUCCCGACUUACCAACCCGAUGCAAACUGCGAAUACCGGAGAAUGUUAUCACGGGAGACACACGGCGGGUGCUAACGUCCGUCGUGAAGAGGGAAACAACCCAGACCGCCAGCUAAGGUCCCAAAGUCAUGGUUAAGUGGGAAACGAUGUGGGAAGGCCCAGACAGCCAGGAUGUUGGCUUAGAAGCAGCCAUCAUUUAAAGAAAGCGUAAUAGCUCACUGGUCGAGUCGGCCUGCGCGGAAGAUGUAACGGGGCUAAACCAUGCAC